rnacentral:lncRNA from 1 species
CUAAAAAGGCAACCUGAGAACAGCCGUGGCACAGAGUAUGUCACCACCGGGGGAAAAAAAGUGAUCAUCACUUACACUGUGGGCACCGCUCGAGAACCCUCAAAACAGCAUCAGUGAUGUUUAUGAAGGGAUCAGUGCUGCGGCUGGAGGAGACUUUUUUGGUGCACAACAAGUGAGUACUGCAAAUGCAAACUCGCAAAUGCAAACUUGCUGUCACGGCCCGGGAAAUGGAGACGAUUCAGGACAAAGCCUCUGGAGGUAUCCGCAGAAGGUGCACCAGGAAGGAGGCAGCUUCGUGCUCAGAUGUGCCAUGGGCUUCAGCUCUUCACUUAGAUGUCUACAUUCUGCUGAGAUACCUUUGAAGGACCUUUGCUGUUCUGUAGGGAGAAGGCUUGCGGCGACGUCGGCUCCCAGCCAAGCCACGUGGUCUGAGGUUGCACAAGGUGAGCGCGGUGGGAUGGCCCAGUACCGACGGCUCCGGAGGUACCUGCACGAGUGACCGGGGCCACGUCAUGCUUCCUCCGUACCCGCAGCUCUGAACAAGCAGCAGUUAUUGCAACACAUCUAUUUGGGGAAAUUUCCAAGUGCAAAAAGGCACUGAGACGGCGGGAGUGCCGUCUGGGGCAGCGCAAAAUGCAGCCUCCCUGCCGCCACAGGGCUCCCGAGAGAAACCUGCUCUGCAUCGCGUUGCAGAGGACGGGGCCCUACGGGCCACACCACAUGCAAAUAUGGGAUUUAUUGCUCUUAAUAGGAGAACGGAGUUAAAAUGAUCAGAUUGUGUAAAGAUCAAAAUCAGAAGGUGAAAAAGAUAUGCAAAGAGGAGGAAGGAAACAGAACGGGUGUUUUGGGGACAGAAGGAAUUUAUCACCACACUCAAAAUUGGUCAAUAUUGUCAAUGUUUUAUAUUUCCAAGAAAAAUAACUUUUUCCAAUAUCUCUCCUUCUAUGAGUUUCAAGCAAGCUGUAAUUACUGUAAUAAAUUAUCUUUGGUUUGAACCUGAGGUUGGUUC